rnacentral:rRNA from 1 species
CCUGGUGCUGUUAGCGCAGUGGAACCACUUCGACUCCAUCCCGAACUCGAUUGUGAAACGCUGCUGCGGCCACGAUACUGGUCGGGUUGCUGACUGGGACAAUAGCUCGGUGCCAGGU